rnacentral:rRNA from 1 species
UACGAAGGGGGCUAGCGUUGUUCGGAUUUACUGGGCGUAAAGGGAGCGUAGGCGGCAAUUCAAGUCAGUUGUGAAAUCUCCGAGCUUAACUCGGAACGGUCAACUGAUACUGCUUUGCUAGAGUACAGAAGGGGCAAUCGGAAUUCUUGGUGUAGCGGUGAAAUGCGUAGAUAUCAAGAGGAACACCUGAGGUGAAGACGGGUUGCUGGGCUGAUACUGACGCUGAGGCUCGAAAGCUAGGGGAGCAAACGGG